GACGAACGCUGGCGGCGUGCUUAACACAUGCAAGUCGAACGGAAAGGCCCUGCUUUUGUGGGGUGCUCGAGUGGCGAACGGGUGAGUAACACGUGAGUAACCUGCCCUUGACUUUGGGAUAACUUCAGGAAACUGGGGCUAAUACCGGAUAGGAGCUCCUGCUGCAUGGUGGGGGUUGGAAAGUUUCGGCGGUUGGGGAUGGACUCGCGGCUUAUCAGCUUGUUGGUGGGGUAGUGGCUUACCAAGGCUUUGACGGGUAGCCUGCCUGAGAGGGUGACCGGCCACAAUGGGACUGAGAUACGGCCCAGACUCCUACGGGAGGCAGCAGGGGGGAAUAUUGCACAAUGGGCGGAAGCCUGAUGCAGCAACGCCGCGUGCGGGAUGACGGCCUUCGGGUUGUAAACCGCUUUCGCCUGUGACGAAGCGUGAGUGACGGUAAUGGGUAAAGAAGCACCGGCUAACUACGUG
rnacentral:rRNA from 1 species